GUCGAGCCGUAGCAUAGUGGUAGUGGCGCGUGGGCCUGAUGAGGAGGGCGUGGGUUCGAGUCCCCCCCUCGGCA
rnacentral:tRNA from 1 species